GACGAACGCUGGCGGCGUGCCUAAUACAUGCAAGUCGAACGAACUCUGGUAUUGAUUGGUGCUUGCAUCAUGAUUUACAUUUGAGUGAGUGGCGAACUGGUGAGUAACACGUGGGAAACCUGCCCAGAAGCGGGGGAUAACACCUGGAAACAGAUGCUAAUACCGCAUAACAACUUGGACCGCAUGGUCCGAGUUUGAAAGAUGGCUUCGGCUAUCACUUUUGGAUGGUCCCGCGGCGUAUUAGCUAGAUGGUGGGGUAACGGCUCACCAUGGCAAUGAUACGUAGCCGACCUGAGAGGGUAAUCGGCCACAUUGGGACUGAGACACGGCCCAAACUCCUACGGGAGGCAGCAGUAGGGAAUCUUCCACAAUGGACGAAAGUCUGAUGGAGCAACGCCGCGUGAGUGAAGAAGGGUUUCGGCUCGUAAAACUCUGUUGUUAAAGAAGAACAUAUCUGAGAGUAACUGUUCAGGUAUUGACGGUAUUUAACCAGAAAGCCACGGCUAACUACGUGCCAGCAGCCGCGGUAAUACGUAGGUGGCAAGCGUUGUCCGGAUUUAUUGGGCGUAAAGCGAGCGCAGGCGGUUUUUUAAGUCUGAUGUGAAAGCCUUCGGCUCAACCGAAGAAGUGCAUCGGAAACUGGGAAACUUGAGUGCAGAAGAGGACAGUGGAACUCCAUGUGUAGCGGUGAAAUGCGUAGAUAUAUGGAAGAACACCAGUGGCGAAGGCGGCUGUCUGGUCUGUAACUGACGCUGAGGCUCGAAAGUAUGGGUAGCAAACAGGAUUAGAUACCCUGGUAGUCCAUACCGUAAACGAUGAAUGCUAAGUGUUGGAGGGUUUCCGCCCUUCAGUGCUGCAGCUAACGCAUUAAGCAUUCCGCCUGGGGAGUACGGCCGCAAGGCUGAAACUCAAAGGAAUUGACGGGGGCCCGCACAAGCGGUGGAGCAUGUGGUUUAAUUCGAAGCUACGCGAAGAACCUUACCAGGUCUUGACAUACUAUGCAAAUCUAAGAGAUUAGACGUUCCCUUCGGGGACAUGGAUACAGGUGGUGCAUGGUUGUCGUCAGCUCGUGUCGUGAGAUGUUGGGUUAAGUCCCGCAACGAGCGCAACCCUUAUUAUCAGUUGCCAGCAUUAAGUUGGGCACUCUGGUGAGACUGCCGGUGACAAACCGGAGGAAGGUGGGGAUGACGUCAAAUCAUCAUGCCCCUUAUGACCUGGGCUACACACGUGCUACAAUGGAUGGUACAACGAGUUGCGAACUCGCGAGAGUAAGCUAAUCUCUUAAAGCCAUUCUCAGUUCGGAUUGUAGGCUGCAACUCGCCUACAUGAAGUCGGAAUCACUAGUAAUCGCGGAUCAGCAUGCCGCGGUGAAUACGUUCCCGGGCCUUGUACACACCGCCCGUCACACCAUGAGAGUUUGUAACACCCAAAGUCGGUGGGGUAACCUUUUAGGAACCAGCCGCCUAAGGUGGGACAGAUGAUUAGGGUG
rnacentral:rRNA from 1 species